rnacentral:rRNA from 1 species
GACGAACGCUGGCGGCGUGCUUAACACAUGCAAGUCGAACGGAAAGGCCCCUUUGGGGGUACUCGAGUGGCGAACGGGUGAGUAACACGUGAGUAACCUGCCCUUGACUUCGGGAUAACUUCAGGAAACUGGGGCUAAUACCGGAUAGGAAUCCUUGCUGCAUGGUGGGGGUUGGAAAGCUUCGGCGGUUUUGGAUGGACUCGCGGCUUAUCAGCUUGUUGGUGGGGUAGUGGCUUACCAAGGCUUUGACGGGUAGCCGGCCUGAGAGGGCGACCGGCCACAUUGGGACUGAGAUACGGCCCAGACUCCUACGGGAGGCAGCAGCGGGGAAUAUUGCACAAUGGGCGGAAGCCUGAUGCAGCAACGCCGCGUGCGGGAUGACGGCCUUCGGGUUGUAAACCGCUUUCAGCAGGGGCGAAGCUUGUGGUGACGGUACCUGCAGAAGAAGCACCGGCUAACUACGUG